rnacentral:rRNA from 1 species
UACGGAGGGUGCAAGCGUUGCUCGGAUUCAUUGGGCGUAAAGGGUGCGUAGGUGGCACUGUAAGUCGGGUGUGAAAUCCUGAGGCUUAACCUCGGAACUGCAUUCGAUACUGCGGUGCUUGAGGACUGGAGAGGAGACUGGAAUUCAUGGUGUAGCAGUGAAAUGCGUAGAGAUCAUGAGGAAGACCAGUGGCGAAGGCGGGGUCUCUGGACAGUUCCUGACACUGAGGCACGAAGGCCAGGGGAGCAAACGGG